AAACAAACCCCUACACAUUUGAAAUAAUCCACAAGGAAAGCCUGCAUUGGAAAUCAUAUUGCCAUAUAAUUAUCCUGUUUACAAUCCCUCGUACAUCUUUUCUCAUAGAAAAAUGCAGAUUUGGAAACAAAGCAGGAAAAAGAUGCCAGAAAACCCUGGCAAGGCUCUGACCGCUGCCUGCCUAGGAAUGGCCGCAGAGGGAGAGAAAUGUGUUUGCAAUUAGGGCUGCCCAGAGCAGGUCCGAUUACAUCUGCAGGCGGCCAAGCUGAAGAGAUUUCCAGAGUGAACUUGUCCUGUGGGCCCAAGUGGAUCCGAGGCAAGGGACUGAUUAAAUAUUUGCAUGAUGUGGCCAUGGUCUUGAAUAAUGCCUGAGAGGUCAGUGAAGAGCAACACUACCCUCUCCCUCCCUUUCGGUGGCUGAUGAAAAGACAUUGCAUUAAGUUCAGUAACACUGUAAUACAAAGACGCAGCAGCUUUCCUCUAAUGACUCAUGGCUAUCUAUUUUAAAAUAUAAGUGCAUUAAAGAAGAAUAAUGCCAAUAUAAUAUGAGAAAGUAAUAUGAAGAUAAUAUGAGAAAAAGAAUAUGGGCAACUCAAAGAACACAUAUGGGGGAAAAAAUAAGAUGGCCCUACCUCAUCAAAAUUAGAAUCCAGUAUUAUGUGCCCAUGAUUCCUGAGGAGCUUUUUUUCUGUGAGCCUCAUCAUUUCUUUAUGAGAUUAAUAAAAUUAUUGAAUAUUA
rnacentral:lncRNA from 1 species